UGGGGUAUCUUGCACAAUGGGCGAAAGCCUGAUGCAGCCAUGCCGCGUGGGUGAAGAAGGCCCUAGGGUUGUAAAGCUCUUUCAGUGGGGAAGAUAAUGACGGUACCCACAGAAGAAGCCCCGGCUAACUCCGUGCCAGCAGCCGCGGUAAUACGGAGGGGGCUAGCGUUGUUCGGAAUCACUGGGCGUAAAGCGCACGUAGGCGGACCAGUCAGUCAGAGGUGAAAUCCCAAGGCUCAACCUUGGAACUGCCUUUGAUACUGUUGGUCUUGAGGUCGAGAGAGGUAAGUGGAAUUCCUAGUGUAGAGGUGAAAUUCGUAGAUAUUAGGAAGAACACCAGUGGCGAAGGCGACUUACUGGCUCGAUUCUGACGCUGAGGUGCGAAAGCGUGGGGAGCAAACAGGAUUAGAUACCCGCGUAGUCC
rnacentral:rRNA from 1 species